GUGGCGAGUGGCGAACGGGUGAGUAAUACAUCGGAACGUGUCCUGGAGUGGGGGAUAGCCCGGCGAAAGCCGGAUUAAUACCGCAUACGCUCUAUGGAGGAAAGCGGGGGAUCUUCGGACCUCGCGCUCAAGGGGCGGCCGAUGGCGGAUUAGCUAGUUGGUAGGGUAAAGGCCUACCAAGGCGACGAUCCGUAGCUGGUCUGAGAGGACGACCAGCCACACUGGGACUGAGACACGGCCCAGACUCCUACGGGAGGCAGCAGUGGGGAAUUUUGGACAAUGGGGGCAACCCUGAUCCAGCAAUGCCGCGUGUGUGAAGAAGGCCUUCGGGUUGUAAAGCACUUUUGUCCGGAAAGAAAUCCUCUGGGUUAAUACCUCGGGGGGAUGACGGUACCGGAAGAAU
rnacentral:rRNA from 1 species